rnacentral:rRNA from 1 species
GAUGAACGCUGGCGGCGUGCCUAAUACAUGCAAGUCGAGCGAACAGAUAAGGAGCUUGCUCCUUUGACGUUAGCGGCGGACGGGUGAGUAACACGUGGGUAACCUACCUAUAAGACUGGAAUAACUCCGGGAAACCGGGGCUAAUGCAGGAUAACACGUUGAACCGCAUGGUUCUACAGUGAAAGGCGGCUUUGCUGUCACUUAUAGAUGGACCCGCGCCGUAUUAGCUAGUUGGUGAGGUAACGGCUCACCAAGGCAACGAUACGUAGCCGACCUGAGAGGGUGAUCGGCCACACUGGAACUGAGACACGGUCCAGACUCCUACGGGAGGCAGCAGUAGGGAAUCUUCCGCAAUGGGCGAAAGCCUGACGGAGCAACGCCGCGUGAGUGAUGAAGGUCUUCGGAUCGUAAAACUCUGUUAUUAGGGAAGAACAAAUGCGUAAGUAACUGUGCGCGUCUUGACGGUACCUAAUCAGAAAGCCACGGCUAACUACGUG